rnacentral:rRNA from 1 species
UACAGAGGGUGCGAACGUUGCUCGGAUUUACUGGGCGUAAAGCGCUUGUAGGCGGGCUAGCGUGUCGGGUGUGAAAUCCCUGGGCUUAACCCAGGAACUGCAUUCGAAACUGCUAGUCUUGAGGAAUUGAGAGGAGAACGGAAUUCCCGGUGUAGAGGUGAAAUUCGUAGAUAUCGGGAGGAACACCAGAAGCGAAGGCGGUUCUCUGGAAAUUAUCUGACGCUGAGAAGCGAAAGCGUGGGGAGCAAACAGG